rnacentral:rRNA from 1 species
AGAGUAAAGCAGCAAUGCGCUUGGGGAUGAGCUCGCGGCCUAUUAGUUAGUUGGCGGGGUAACAGCCCACCAAGGCGACGAUCAGUAGCCGACCUGAGAGGGUGAUCGGCCACAUUGGGACUGAGACACGGCCCAAACUCCUACGGGAGGCAGCAGUGGGGAAUAUUGCACAAUGGGGGAAACCCUGAUGCAGCAACGCCGCGUGAAGGAUGAAGGUUUUCGGAUCGUAAACUUCUAUCAACAGGGAAGAAUAAUGACGGUACCUGAAUAAGAAGCCCCGGCUAACUACGUGCCAGCAGCCGCGGUAAUACGUAGGGGGCAAGCGUUAUCCGGAAUUACUGGGUGUAAAGGGAGCGUAGGCGGCACGUCAAGCCAGAUGUGAAAGCCCGGGGCUUAACCCCGUGGAUUGCAUUUGGAACUGGCGAGCUAGAGUACAGGAGAGGAAAGCGGAAUUCCUAGUGUAGCGGUGAAAUGCGUAGAUAUUCGGAGGAACACCAGUGGCGAAGGCGGCUUACUGGGCUCUAACUGACGCUGAGGCACGAAAGUGUGGGUAGCAAACAGGAUUAGAUACCCUGGUAGUCCACACUGUAAACGAUGAAUACUAGGUGUGGGGGGACUGACCCCUUCCGUGCCGGAGUUAACACAAUAAGUAUUCCACCUGGGGAGUACGACCGCAAGGUUGAAACUCAAAGGAAUUGACGGGGGCCCGCACAAGCAGUGGAGUAUGUGGUUUAAUUCGAAGCAACGCGAAGAACCUUACCAGGUCUUGACAUCCGACUAACGAAGUAGAGAUACAUUAGGUGCCCUUCGGGGAAAGUCGAGACAGGUGGUGCAUGGUUGUCGUCAGCUCGUGUCGUGAGAUGUUGGGUUAAGUCCCGCAACGAGCGCAACCCCUAUCUUUAGUAGCCAGCAUUUUGGAUGGGCACUCUAGAGAGACUGCCAGGGAUAACCUGGAGGAAGGCGGGGAUGACGUCAAAUCAUCAUGCCCCUUAUGAUCUGGGCUACACACGUGCUACAAUGGCGUAAACAAAGAGAAGCAAAACUGUGAAGUGGAGCAAACCUCAAAAAUAACGUCUCAGUUCGGAUUGUAGUCUGCAACUCGACUACAUGAAGCUGGAAUCGCUAGUAAUCGCGAAUCAGAAUGUCGCGGUGAAUACAAACCCGGGUCUUGCACUCACCGCCCGUCA